UACGGGGGGAGCAAGCGUUGUUCGGAUUUACUGGGCGUAAAGGGCGCGUAGGCGGUCGUGACAAGUCACUUGUGAAAUCUCCGGGCUUAACUCGGAACGGUCAAGUGAUACUGUCGGACUAGGGUACAGAAGGGGCAACUGGAAUUCUCGGUGUAGCGGUGAAAUGCGUAGAUAUCGAGAGGAACACCUGCGGCGAAGGCGGGUUGCUAGGCCGACACUGACGCUGAAGCGCGAAAGCCAGGGGAGCAAACGGG
rnacentral:rRNA from 1 species